UUAGCCCAGGGGUUCCAGUACAAGUUGUGUUCUUCCGCACUUAAGUAUUUUGAAGAAAUAUGUUUCUCUAAAAUUAAGUUUUCUUUUAUGUAAUUUUGAAGACCUUUUAUAUAAGGUUUUAUAUCUUGCAUCUUACAUCUGUAAAUAAAGUACUUCGUCAGUAAGAUAACUUUAUUUUUAAUAAAAUUCAGUUUAUAAUUUUCAUAAAGGCCAAAAAUGACAAUUUUCAAAUUAAGUGGAAUUUCGAUAAGAACCUUAUCGAAAAUCCAUGAAUUUAGAUUGUGCCAAAUGUCGGCUACAAUAUGACAACCCCAAAGUAAAUGUUCUAUAGUUUCAGGCUCUUCCUUGCAAAAUGUACACAAAUUACAAUUAACAAGCUUCAUUUUAAAAAGUAAAGCAUUUGUCCCUAAAAUAUAAUGAAUAAUUCUAUAUUGAAACCAACAUAACCUAGUGUUUUUUGAAACCUUGGUAACACACAAGUGUAUUUUUUUCCAAUUUUCUACAACUUUGUUAAGAAUACCUUCCCAUUUUUUUUCUGCUACAAAAUCUGUAGGUAAAAUUCCUUGAUUUAAAAUAG
rnacentral:lncRNA from 1 species